ensembl:lncRNA
AUAGUUUAUUCCAGGCCUACAGUAACUGUGCUUGAGGCUGUUCGAGUGAAAUGGUUAAAUCAGGAAGCUGAGCAUCCAGAUCCUUUAAUCUCUUUCUGUUACACUGUGUCCUUGUGUGUCAUCCUGGAUAAACCCAUUUACCUACUGGUGUCUUUAUUUCUUUGAUAUUCGUUAGUGUUUAAAUUGUCUACAAUAUCUACACCACACAAACAGGACAGCUUUUUUAGAAACCUAAAUUAAAAGAUGCAAUAUAAAUAAGAAGUAAUUGUAUGUUCUUUAAUGGGUAUUCUUACUUGAGUUGCUGACCUCUGUGGUACUCAAAAGCUUGUCAACAAGAAAUCAAAAAAUCAAUAAGGAAAAUAACCUGGGAUGGAGGAUGGGUCUCUAAUUGCAGCACUGAGUGUCAAUAGGAUAAAUGUCUUAAUGCUGAUUAAUGACUGUCCGUAAUGGUAUUCAAAAAAUGUAGGUUUGCUGUGGCUUUUUCAAAGUCCAGAUGAGCUGCUUGGAGCUCUGCUAAUGAUGCAAAUUAUUUAACGCUCAUUUGUAUGCAGUAUGCUCCUGCUUUGAAAGUACUUCACAGAAUUCAAGCCAAAUUCAGCCUUACAGCUCCACUGAAGUCAGUGCUUGUUUGUGCAUCUGUUGAUUGCUUUUCUUUUCUUUUUUCUUUUUUUGGCUUUUUUUUUUAUUUUGUUCUGUUUGAAGAGUUAUUUUCUUGUUGCACUGAUUUUAUUUUCUUAAAGGUAAUAUCUGCAAGGGGUUUGUAGUCACUUCUCCCCUCCCCAGUAAAGUAGCUGUAAGUACAAAUGCAGUUCUGUUGAUUCUCCCAUCUCCUUCUUAAGCCCUACAAAUGAGGACAAGCUAAGCAGAAAAUAGAGUUUUGUGUUCUUUCCUUUCUACUACUUUGCACCUCCUAAGCACAGUUUUGGUGACAUAUGGCACUUCUCCUAAAAAAAUGUCCUGCAAAGAAUCUCUGCCUGCCAUCUGAUGUAUCCAAGAAACUGAGUUCCUGUGGCCCAUUUCUGGAUUAACCCAACAUGAACUGAUGAAGGCCCAGGACAUGCACAAUUCUGCAGGUUAGUUAUGCUCAGCCAUAACAAUGUAAGGAUGCAUCUUGUUAUGGCUGACAGCAAUAUGGUAUGGGAGUCUGACCUGAUAUUUAGAAUAAAAUUAGCUGCUGGAAGGGAGAACAGGCAUUCUUAGUUCAGACAUGUAUUUUAGUAUUUGACUUUAUAAUUGAAAUAUUCCUUUAAUGUAGUUUUUAACUUGACCCAGCUGUGUUUUUAACACACACACUGGGGGUGGUGGGGAAACAUUAUCUGCAAUCAUAUCAUUCACUCCUCCUGGGUAAUGGGCAGGGGUGUGAUUUUUAGCUUACAGCAUAGCCCUACAACUCAACUGCCUGCAUAGAGUAAGUGGGAGUAAUGGAAAAGCUUCCUUUCUAAGUGUGCACGUCACUAGAAUGGGCAGAGAUGUUUCUUGUCAGCUCUUAAAUAUUUGCUGGCAGCAUCAAUACAGGGAUGAGUGUUGAGAUGUGGGAAUAAUGGGUUCGUUUCCAAGCUGUAUGGAGGAUGAAUCUAGAUGCCCCGCCGCCCUAUGUUAUAUAACAGUAUUAUAGUAUGUGAUUUCCCCUCUCCCUUUCCUGCAGCACAGCUCUCCCAGCCUCCCAGCCUGUGCUCAUCGCAGUGCUCUCUACAACAUGGCUCCUCCUCCCGAGCUGCCUGCCCAUUCCUUCUGGCCCGCAUCUCUUCCCUGUCCCUUGCUGGGGUAGCUGUAAUCCCCACAGGAAUGUGGCCCACGGCCUCGGGCAUGUGACUCCAGAGAGCUUCUGAUGGUGAAUGCAAAGCAGGAAAAAGCAAUCUUGUGACAUCUAGCAGCGUAGGAAGGGAAGCGCUGGGCAUCUGUGGGCUGUUCGGUGUGCGUGGCUGUCCAGCCACCUCAUCAGACAGAAAAACAGAGGCUAGACUUUUCGGCUGCAUGUGUUGUUUCCCUGUCCAUUGUGUCUGGGUGAUGUAUUCUCUGCCUGUGGUUUUAAUAAAUGUCUUUCUAAGCUACUUUCUGCUUCAGUCCCCUUCGGAAUAGCUCAUUCCAACUUGGCUGCUUCAGUAUGCUGAAGAUGUUAAGUCAGUUAUGUGGAAAAGGGGAAAAAAGAAAACUUCAUGUAGAACAUCUGAGAAAGCUGUAACUGUAUCUCUGUGAAGAUGCUAUAUGCUACACAGAAGUAUUUGCCAUGAGAAUCCCAAACUACUGCUAGGACCCAAGCUUGUGUUGGAUUCUAAUAAGCCUUUGCAGGUAGGAUGUCGCUGUGUUGUAGAGUACCCUGCAGAUUUCAACAAUUCCAGUGAAUUUCUGUUUGUGGAAACUGAGUUUUGUUCUACGUAGUAAGCACCCAUCUUAACCCUGCUGGAGCAGAACAGCCCUUUUCCUAGCAGAAACCAGAGCUGUUGUUGAUUAAUGUCUUGCUGAAAACUAAGUCUUUGCCAUCUGUUCCGCCCCCUCACUACGAAUGCCACUCUCAUUAUGUUGAUUAUGUAAUUAAAAAUGAAAAUAUAUUUUGGUAAGAGUGCUGCAUAGGCAUCUGUGCUUAUUCUUCUGUUCCUGUUCACUGCCCCCUGCCCCCGUCCCAUACAGAAGGGAAAAGACAACAAUUGUUCCACUCGGCAGUGGCUUUAUAUUGAAGCUGUCGCACUGGCUGCCAGACUGGUGCACGUCAUGGGAGCAGCCACUCGAGCCCCGCUGUGUCUGAGCUGCGGCUCCUUCGGAAACCCCGGCUAUUAGGUUCAUGAGAAAUCCGUGGCAGGAAGCUGACCCUUAAACCAAGGCUCCUUUAAGUUCUUGUGAUGGGUUAACUUGAAUCCAGAACAUGAAAAGAGAAGAGAAAGAGGCCUGGCUACUUCAUAAGAGAUAGUGUGACCUCUGAGAUCAGCGAGGCUGCUCAUGUUACAAAUAUGGCCUGUCUAUCUAAGGACCGAGGAAGAGAAAGAGAGGAGGGGUAGCCUUCUUGUAAGUGGGUUAGAGCAAUUACUGAGGUCUCUUACAGCAAAUUAAGUCGUUAGUGUGAGUCACGUUCCCUUUUUUCCUCUCUGCUGCCAAGUUUUAAGCAGUAACCAGACAGGGAGGAAAAAAAGGGAAAAGCAACAAUGGAGAAGAGUUGAACUGAAACAACCCUUCAUUCAGGGUAUUGUUUGACAUUUUAGUUCUGAUUGUACAUAGAGAUAAAGGACCUAUAAAUAUCCUGUCUGCUGAAAUUCCUUAUAACAACAUCGCCUGUCAGCUGAACAAAUAGGUUAGGUUCUCUAAAUACUACCUAAUUACACAUGUAAAUACAAAUUACUGAUUGUAUCCCUGCACCGCGUGGAAUGAAGGCCUGAUCACUGGGAGGAACAUUAAUCUCCUGUUUUACUGAGAUGCCCCAGUCCCAGGAGAGCAAAUGGCACAUACAGCUAUUACUGCUGAAUUGGUGCAAGUUCCGAGAUCAGACUGAAGCAAGCAAGGAGAUAUUUAUCUGGCUGAUGAACGUAGAUGAAAGCCUCUUCUGACGCUUCUGAAAGUAUCUCAGCAUCUAGUUCUGUUUAACAAAUGGCUGGAAGCUUUUCUACUCUGCUUCAGAGCUUUUAAUGAAGCAUUGUGAUUCCCAUUGUGGUCGACUGUUUGACAGUUUUAUUAUUACUGGUAUGCAUAGCGUUUUUUAAUGUUUGACAGCUGGAGAAAGAAGUAUUUUGUGCAUUCAAAUUUUUAGUACAAAGCUGCUGUUUUCUAUUCUGCCUUUGCCUUUGUCUCUUAUUGCUGAUGCGAAUCAAUGAAAGACAGAACUGAUGAAAUUACAUUUGUUUACUUUUUACUUGAUAAUAAUAAGACACAGCCAGCCCUUUGUAAAAGACAGAAAUGGGGGAUGUGAAUGUUUCUACAGUAUUUCUGUGUGUUUUUUUUUUCUUAUAGCAUAAAGGCAUUUAUUUGUUUCUUAUGUCUUGAUUUAUAAGAUAAUGUGCACUUCCUAAUGUAUGUGGAAUAAGAAUGGAGCAAUGAAUGACAGUUAGCAAUGGAUUCCACUUGAAAAUCUCUUAGCUUGUUAUUUUUAUUAAUUCAACAGCAUAAACGCUCGUAGCACAUCACAAAACAAACACCAAGAUAGUUCUGUGAUUCACAGUAGGACUGCCUCUGAUCACUGCUGUAUAUUUGUAUGUAGCUACACAAAAAAGUCCAGUCCACUGGCUUUGGCUUUAUACACACGUGAUUGUUACCAGGCCCCAGCUUUGAUAUAUUGGUACAAUACUGGAAAGAAACAAGCUGCAGAAAUCAGAUAUCCAUGGUUGUUUUGGUGAGUAACGUGCAUGUCUUGUGGAUUGUGUAAUGCAUUUUUUGGGUUUUUUUUUUUUUUUUUUUGAAUGCUUGCCCUAAGACAGGAGGCCUACAUUUGUCUGCCUGCCUUGUGCAGCAUGCUUGUGUUUUUGCAUGUACGUUUCUAGAUGUCAAGAGCUGCAACAGAAAGGUUUUGGGAGGGAUAAAAAGCAGAAACAGGAGAGGAAGAUGAUGAGCAGAAGGGAGGUGGUAAGGGAGGCACUUACACAACUGCUCUCCUGAUGACUGUUUCCUGUGUUUUGGCCAGAAAGGAGAAAAGUGCAUCAAAGAAUGGCAAAGCCAACAGGUGUCUGAAGGCUCCUCAGCAGUGGAGCCAAAUUUCCCUGCUUCACAGGCAAAGCGAGACUCAAGAGUGCUAUCACAUGGCAGCUGAGCCAAACCUAAUGAAUUGCUAGUAUCAAAAAGGACAGCCCUACUGCUCUCUUUUUGUGCAGGUCUGGUGCUUGUCUGACCCUUUGAUGAAUUUAUGCAGCUCAAUAAACUUUAAGAAAAUGAAUUCAGCAAAAAAUAGCGAAGCUAUCAGUCCAGGAAGGGAGGAGGGGAGAUACUGUGAGAGUCAAACCUGGAACUGCAGUGGUGGGGAGAGGUUGUGCCUUCCCUCAGAAGAGGACACGCUGAAUACGGAGUGAUUAAGACAGAUGCCUGGACAGGUGAAGGGAGGUGUUCCAGCAGUGGCAGUGCACACAGCAGAGGAGGGAACAAAUUGCUGCAAGACUGCAGGAGCCCAGGAGGAUGUUGCCAUGGAAGGCAUCUUGUCGUGGGGCUCUGCAUAUCUGAAGUAAUAACCGCUGAUGUCAGGGGAAAAAAAAGUAUGCCAGGGAUCCAAUGACCCUAUGAGAGAUGCGGUGUGGAUUUCAGUGGGACAUGGACUGGGCCUCAUAAGCUGCUUGUCUCACACCAACAACCCCCUGAUACUAUCAUGAAAACUUCCCGUUUACAGCGACAGGUGCCGCAGGGGGCUGUAUACUUGGAUAUUAUUAAUUCUUUCCUUAGGAGUGUUUAUUAACAAAUGCUUGCAAGUUGUAUGGUGUGGUGUGGUGUAAACAGGAAGCACUCCAAGGUACUGCAUUGCCCAUGUAAUGCAGCACAUAUUCCAACAGCUUGGCUUUUUUUUUUUCCAAAAUACUGCGACACCACUUCCUUCAAGAAGUCUCUCCUGCCUGCGUGGCUCAUUUCUGCUAUAGAUAUGCAAAGCUGCAAAAGAACCGAUUGUUUUAAAAAUGAAUGUUGAUUUGCUAGACUGGGAACUGAUGUCUGUAAUUUAUAUCCUAUCUUUAAAGUUAUGCAGUACAGACUCUUUGGGCGCUCUGAUCAGCAGACUGAACAAAGCGCAAGAGAAGAGGCUGCCACCUUUCCUCCUGCAGCAUAGUGUUGCCUGGAGAGCAGCGAUGCAGACUGCCCUGCAGGUACUGCAGUGCAUCUCAGCCCAAGCCCUGGGGCAGUGCCUCUUCUGCCACUCUGUGCCAGCAGGCUGGGCUCUGACCGGUGCAGGGAAACAGUUGUUCCAUUUCCAGUCAGCUCUUAUUGUCUGCCAAGAGCAGCAAUGGGAAAGCUAAGAGUGACCGUUCAUAUGUGGAAACUUUAUAUUCACAAUAACGGCGCUGAGGCCUCCAAGCUGUCUCAUAAGGGCUCCAUGCUCUUGUUGUGUGAUGUACCAGUGCUGUCUGUAUUCUGGGCUUUUAUGUGAGCAUCUCAGAAUCCCACUGGCACACUGUUUCCUAUGCCUUGUUCAGACAGUGCUAUGUACAACAGGAGCAGACAGCGGGGAAUUAUACUUGUGCCACCACAAGAUCACUACCUACAUGGUUGUUAUAAACCAAAACGAGUGCUAAGAACAUCACUUGAAAUGAAGUUCUAGUAGCAUUGUCAUGAAGGUUUGGUAUCAUUUCCUAAACUGGUUCUCAGUGAAGGUGCUUCUGUGUCUGCCCCAGGUGUAAUGCAAUUGGGCUGAUAUCAGGACUGAUGCUUUCUUCUCUAUCCUCCCAUCAGUCAAGCUCUUCAUCACACAUACCCCCUUGAUUUUUUAACUGUGAGUGAGAAAGAAUGAAAAUGAAAUUGCUGCAAUAUCUGGACCACAUAAAACCCCAAUAAUCCUGUGUCUAUGUUCUUUAACUUCUGCCCUUAUUGGAGGCAUCCCUUGUCCAGUGUGAAGUGGAACUGAGAGUGACUGGGGGAAACAGACAGUGUGUUUAAGUAUUUGUAAAUCAUGAGCCUUGUGAGGUUUUGUAAUAAUCUUACUGCCUAUUUUGUGUUUUUGUGUAUUCGUCUAGCAACUGAUGAUAUCAAAAACAGAGAGAUCAGGAGGCUGAUAUUACACGCUAAGUCUGUUCUGUAAAAUCUCAGUAGCCUUUUGGUGCAUGGAACUUCGGCACACGCAAACUGUGACUGCAGCGACGUCCUCCUUGUUUACAGAAUUGGAAGUCUUGAGCAAAGCGAAGCUGACUCGUGGAGAAGCUGGUUUUCAAAAGAUACAAGCUCCAGAUAACUAAGGACAAGUGAAGCACACAACAAUAUAGAAAUCACUCGGUUUUACUGCAGCCAACUGAGACAAAGUGUGCUUUGAAGCUGGGAAAUUUCCAUUACUGAAGUGCAGGACAGUGCCUGGAUACUGCUGCUACUGCAGCUGAGAAAUAAAAGCAACUUAAUUUUACAUAGCAGCAAAAUGUCAGUAUGUUAAUUACAACUGUUAGAGUUUUAUAAGAUUUUAAGGAUGCCGUAAAAUGGAUUCCUUCUAAAAUAUUUAGGAUAUAAUUGUAAAUGACUUCUCUAAAACUAAGGAGCAUUAAAAGGACUUGAAAUUGUACCUAAGUUUUCAAGCUGUAUCAUAUUUGUGAACAUCAGAUCUGACAAGAACAUGACACGACAUC